rnacentral:rRNA from 1 species
UACGUAGGGGGCAAGCGUUGUCCGGAUUUAUUGGGCGUAAAGAGCGUGUAGGCGGUUUGGUAGGUCCGUUGUGAAAACUCGAGGCUCAACCUCGAGACGCCGGCGGAAACCAUCAGGCUAGAGUCCGGAAGAGGAGAGUGGAAUUCCGAGUGUAGAGGUGCAAUUCGUAGAUAUUCGGAGGAACACCAGUGGCGAAGGCGGCUCACUGGUCCGGAACUGACGCUGAGGUGCGAAAGCGUGGGGAGCAAACAGG